AUUGAACGCUGGCGGCAUGCUUUACACAUGCAAGUCGAACGGUAACAGGGUGCUUGCACCGCUGACGAGUGGCGAACGGGUGAGUAAUGCGUCGGAACGUGCCGAGUAGUGGGGGAUAACGCAGCGAAAGUUGUGCUAAUACCGCAUACGUACUGAGGUAGAAAGUGGGGGACCUUCGGGCCUCACGCUAUUCGAGCGGCCGACGUCUGAUUAGCUAGUAGGUGAGGUAAAGGCUCACCUAGGCGACGAUCAGUAGCGGGUCUGAGAGGAGGAUCGGCCACACUGGGACUGAGACACGGCCCAGACUCCUACGGGAGGCAGCAGUGGGGAAUUUUGGACAAUGGGCGAAAGCCUGAUCCAGCCAUGCCGCGUGUCUGAAGAAGGCCUUCGGGUUGUAAAGGACUUUUGUCAGGGAGGAAAUCCCUAGUGCUAAUAACACUGGGGGAUGACAGUACCUGAAGAAUAAGCACCGGCUAACUACGUGCCAGCCGCCGCAGUAA
rnacentral:rRNA from 1 species